rnacentral:rRNA from 1 species
UACGUAGGGUGCGAGCGUUGUCCGGAAUUAUUGGGCGUAAAGAGCUUGUAGGCGGUUUGUCGCGUCUGCUGUGAAAACUCGGGGCUUAACCCCGGGCCUGCAGUGGGUACGGGCAGACUAGAGUGCGGUAGGGGAGACUGGAAUUCCUGGUGUAGCGGUGAAAUGCGCAGAUAUCAGGAGGAACACCGGUGGCGAAGGCGGGUCUCUGGGCCGAUACUGACGCUGAGGAGCGAAAGCGUGGGGAGCGAACAGG